GCGGGUAUAGUUUAGUGGUAAAACUCUAGCCUUCCAAGCUAAUGAUGCGGGUUCGAUUCCCGCUACCCGCCUAU
rnacentral:tRNA from 1 species